UGGGGAAUCUUCCGCAAUGGACGAAAGUCUGACGGAGCAACGCCGCGUGUAUGAUGAAGGUCUUCGGAUUGUAAAGUACUGUCAUUGGGGAAGAACGGUUUUCUUGAAAAGAUUGAGAAGACAUGACGGUACCCAAGGAGGAAGCCCCGGCUAACUACGUGCCAGCAGCCGCGGUAAUACGUAGGGGGCAAGCGUUGUCCGGAAUUAUUGGGCGUAAAGGGCGCGUAGGCGGGCCUUUAAGUCCGGUGUGAAAGAUCAGGGCUCAACCCUGAGAGUGCAUCGGAAACUGGAGGCCUUGAGGACAGGAGAGGAAAGUGGAAUUCCACGUGUAGCGGUGAAAUGCGUAGAUAUGUGGAGGAACACCAGUGGCGAAGGCGACUUUCUGGACUGUAACUGACGCUGAGGCGCGAAAGCGUGGGGAGCGAACAGGAUUAGAUACCCUGGUAGUCCACGCCGUAAACGAUGAGUGCUAGGUGUAGAGGGUAUCGACCCCUUCUGUGCCGCAGUUAACACAAUAAGCACUCCGCCUGGGGAGUACGGCCGCAAGGUUGAAACUUAAAGGAAUUGACGGGGUCAUAGCUG
rnacentral:rRNA from 1 species